CAGUAGCCACGGUAAUACGUAGGGUGCGAGCGUUAAUCGGAAUUACUGGGCGUAAAGCGUGCGCAGGCGGUUUUGUAAGACAGGCGUGAAAUCCCCGGGCUCAACCUGGGAAUGGCGCUUGUGACUGCAAAGCUAGAGUGCGGCAGAGGGGGAUGGAAUUCCGCGUGUAGCAGUGAAAUGCGUAGAUAUGCGGAGGAACACCGAUGGCGAAGGCAAUCCCCUGGGCCUGCACUGACGCUCAUGCACGAAAGCGUGUGGAGCAAACAGGAUUAGAUACCCGAGUAGUCCCUGUCUCUUAUAA
rnacentral:rRNA from 1 species